UGCGGAGGGGGCUAGCGUUGUUCGGAAUUACUGGGCGUAAAGCGCACGUAGGCGGCUUUGUAAGUUAGAGGUGAAAGCCCAGGGCUCAACCCUGGAAUUGCCUUUAAGACUGCAUCGCUUGAACAUCGGAGAGGUAAGUGGAAUUCCGAGUGUAGAGGUGAAAUUCGUAGAUAUUCGGAAGAACACCAGUGGCGAAGGCGACUUACUGGACGAUUGUUGACGCUGAGGUGCGAAAGCGCGGGGAGCAAACAGG
rnacentral:rRNA from 1 species